rnacentral:rRNA from 1 species
GCCAAAUUUCUAGCCCUAAAUAUAAAUAUUUACACUAAUUAAUUCUUACCCCCUAUACUAAAACAUUUUCAUAUUUAAGUAAAGGCGAUAAAAAAAAUUCUCAGAGCAAUAGUAACAGUACCGCAAGGGAAUGAUGAAAUAAAAUUGAAAUAAUUCUUAAGCACAAAAUAGUAGAGUUUUCCCCUUGUACCUUUUGCAUCAUGGUUUAACUAGUCCCCCUUAGGCAAAAAGAUUUUUAGUCUAACACCCCGAACCCAGGCGAGCUACCCUAAGACAGCUUUUUGAGCCAACCCGUCUCUGUUGCAAAAGAGUGGGAAGAUCUUAUAGUAGAAGCGAAAAACCAAACGAGCCUGGUGAUAGCUGGUUGCUUUAUAAAAGGAUUUUAGUCCAACUUAAAGUUGUCUAUAUAUUAAAAAAAUUUUAACUUUAAAGUAACUCAAAUAAGGUUCAGCCUAUUUGAAAAAGGAUACAACCUAUACUAAUGGGUUCACCUAUGCCCCCACCCCACAAAAAAGUAGGCCUAAAAGCAGCCAUCUUUAAAAAAGCGUCAUAGCUUAUUUUUAUAACUAUCUAAUUCUUAAAGUACUCAUUAACCCUUUACCACUAAAAAGCAACUCUAUACCUCUAUAGAAAAUUUUAUGUUAAAACUAGUAACAAGAAGCAGCCCUUCUCUAAAAUGUACCUGUAUAUCAACAUGGACACCCCACUGAUAAUUAACGCUUAUAAAACCUAAAUAAAAACAUUCCCUCAAGAAAAUUUUAUUUACAUUAACGUUAACCUAACACAAGAACAUUUAAAGAAAGAUUAAAAGAUAAAGAAGGAACUCGGCAAACAUUAGCCCCGCCUGUUUACCAAAAACAUCGCCUCUUGACUAACCAUAAGAGGUCAAGCCUGCCCAGUGACAUUGUUCAACGGCCGCGGUAUCCUAACCGUGCGAAGGUAGCGUAAUCACUUGUCCUUUAAAUAAGGACUAGUAUGAACGGCUUCACGAAGGCUAUUCUGUCUCCUUUGUCUAAUCAGUUAAACUAAUCUCCCCGUGAAGAAGCGGGGAUUAACCUAUAAGACGAGAAGACCCUAUGGAGCUUUAAAUAUCUAAGACAUUUGAUUUUACUAUUAAACUUCAUGUAGCCUAUCAUUUAUGCCUUAAGUUUUAGGUUGGGGUGACCGCGGAGAAAAAUCGAACCUCCACGUAGAAAGAAAAUUUUCUUCUAAGCAAAAAGACACAUCUUAACGCAUCAAUAUAUUGACCUAAAUUGACCCAAUUUCUUGCUCAACGAACCAAGUUACCCUAGGGAUAACAGCGCAAUCCGCUUUGAGAGCUCCUAUCGACAAGCGGGCUUACGACCUCGAUGUUGGAUCAGGGUAUCCUAAUGGUGCAGCAGCUAUUAACGGUUCGUUUGUUCAACGAUUAAAACCCUACGUGAUCUGAGUUCAGACCGGAGCAAUCCAGGUCAGUUUCUAUCUAUAAAAAGUUUUUUCUAGUACGAAAGGACCGAAAAAACAUAGCCAAUGCCCUCAAUGCAAGCCAUUUUUCUAAAUUAUGCUUAAAACUUAAUAACUAAAACUUAACACUUAUUCUCUAAGACAAGGAUAACA